GACGGAUGGGGCUAGCGUUGUUCGGAAUUACUGGGCGUAAAGGGCGCGUAGGCGGCCAUUUAAGUUAGACGUGAAAGCCCUGGGCUUAACCUAGGAACUGCGUUUAAUACUGGAUGGCUAGAGUAUGGUAGAGGAAAGCGGAAUUCCUAGUGUAGAGGUGAAAUUCGUAGAUAUUAGGAAGAACACCAGAGGCGAAGGCGGCUUUCUGGACCAUUUACUGACGCUGAGGCGCGAAAGCGUGGGGAGCAAACAGG
rnacentral:rRNA from 1 species